rnacentral:rRNA from 1 species
GACGUAGGAUGCGAGCGUUGUCCGGAUUUAUUGGGCGUAAAGAGUUCGUAGGUGGUUCGUUAAGUCUGGUGUAAAAGACUGGGGCUCAACCCUGGGAUCGCACUGGAUACUGGCGGACUGGAGUGUGGUAGAGGCAAGCGGAAUUCCCAGUGUAGCGGUGAAAUGCGUAGAUAUUGGGAAGAACACCGGUGGCGCAAGCGGCUUGCUGGGCCAUAACUGACACUGAGGAACGAAAGCUAGGGAGCGAAUGGG